AGACUCCUACGGGAGGCUGCAGUCGAGGAUCUUCGGCAAUGGGCGCAAGCCUGACCGAGCGACGCCGCGUGCGCGAUGAAGGCCUUCGGGUUGUAAAGCGCUGUCGAGGGGGAGGAAAGGGCAACCCUGACCUAUCCCUGGAGGAAGCACGGGCUAAGUUCGUGCCAGCAGCCGCGGUAAGACGAACCGUGCGAACGUUGUUCGGAAUCACUGGGCUUAAAGGGCGCGUAGGCGGAUCAUCAAGUCCGGGGUGAAAGCCCCCAGCUUAACUGGGGAAGUGCCUUGGAUACUGGUGAUCUGGAGGGAGAUAGGGGCAGUUGGAACUUCCGGUGGAGCGGUGAAAUGCGUUGAUAUCGGAAGGAACGCCGGUGGCGAAAGCGAACUGCUGGAUCUCUUCUGACGCUGAGGCGCGAAAGCCAGGGGAGCAAACGGGAUUAGAUACCCCGGUAGUCCUGGCCCUAAACGAUGGGUACUAGAUAGUAGACUGGACAUGGGUUUACUGUCGAAGCCAAAGUGCUAAGUACCCCGCCUGGGGAGUAUGGUCGCAAGGCUGAAACUCAAAGGAAUGACGG
rnacentral:rRNA from 1 species